CCUACGGGGGGCAGCAGUGGGGAAUAUUGCACAAUGGGGGCAACCCUGAUGCAGCGACGCCGCGUGAGUGAGGACGUAUUUCGGUAUGUAAAGCUCUAUCAGCAGGGAAGAAAAUGCCGGUACCUGACUAAGAAUCCCCUGCUCACUACGUGCCAGCAGCCGCGGUAUUACGGAGGGGGCCAGCGUUAUCCGGAUUUACUGGGUGUAAAGGGAGCGUAGACGGCUAAUCAAGUCAGAAGUGAAAACCCAGGGCUCAACGUUGGGACUGCUUUUGAAACUGAGUAGCUAGAGUGCAGGAGAGGUAAGCGGAAUUCCUGGUGUAGCGGUGAAAUGCGUAGAUAUUAGGAGGAACACCAGUGGCGAAGGCGGCUUACUGGACUGUAACUGACGUUGAGGCUCGAAAGCGUGGGGAGCAAACAGGAUUAGAUACCCGGGUAGUC
rnacentral:rRNA from 1 species